rnacentral:rRNA from 1 species
GUGGGGAAUAUUGGACAAUGGGCGAAAGCCUGAUCCAGCCAUGCCGCGUGUGUGAAGAAGUUCUUCGGACUGUAAAGCACUUUAUGUUGUGAGGAUGGGUAGUAAGUUUAUACCUUGCUGUUUUGACGUUACCGACAGAAUAAGCACCGGCUAACUUCGUGCCAGCAGCCGCGGUAAUACGAAGGGUGCAAUCGUUAAUCGGAAUUACUGGGCGUAAAGCGCGCGUAGGUGGUUUUGUAAGUUGGAGGUGAAAUCCCCGGGCUCAACCUGAGAACUGCGUCCAAAACUGCAUGACUAGAGUACGGUAGAGAGGAGUGGAAUUUCCUGUGUAGGGGUGAAAUGCGUAGAUAUAGGAAGGAACACCAGUGGCGAAGGCGACUACCUGGACUGAUACUGACACUGAGGUGCGAAAGCGUGGGGAGCAAACAGGAUUAGAUACCCCGGUAGUCC